ensembl:snRNA U1 U1 spliceosomal RNA
ACACUUACUUGUCAGGGGAGAUUCCAUAACCGUGAAGGCAGUUAUCCCAGGGUAAGGCUUAUCCACUGCACUAUGGAUUUUCUGACCCUUCAAUUUAUGCCUCAACGUGGGAAACUUGACUACCUAAUUUGUAGCAGUGGGGGACUUUGCUCAUGCUAUCCCCGA